rnacentral:rRNA from 1 species
UACGUAGGGGGCAAGCGUUGUCCGGAUUUAUUGGGCGUAAAGAGCGUGUAGGCGGCCCGCUAAGUCGAACGUGAAAUCCCCGAGCUCAACUCGGGAACUGCGUCCGAUACUGGCGGGCUUGAAUCCGGGAGAGGGAUGCGGAAUUCCAGGUGUAGCGGUGAAAUGCGUAGAUAUCUGGAGGAACACCGGUGGCGAAGGCGGCAUCCUGGACCGGCAUUGACGCUGAGGCGCGAAAGCUAGGGGAGCAAACGGG